AUCAGUGGCAUCAGAGGCAGCAUUUUCAACUGGAGAAAGGAUCAUUAGUGACUAUAGAAGUAGACUUUCGAGCAGUACUGUAGAGGCAUUGAUUUGCCUUCAAGAUUGGAUGAGGGCAGAAGGUUUGGGUGAUUUCUUUGCACGUGAUCUUGCUGAGAGUGAUGACCAAAAUGUGCAACAUUCAGGUGAAAAUGCCUAUACACCUCUAGUAACAUGUAGUACCAGCACAACAACCAGCAGCAGGUAAUAUAGAAAAAGACCGGAAGAGCUCAUGGAGUUGGAAGCAGUUGUUUGUCACUUUGUCAAUUGGUACAGUUGGUUUAUCAUGA